UGCUAUUAGAUGAGCCUAUAUUAGAUUAGCUAGUUGGUGGAGUAAUAGCCUACCAAGGCAAUGAUCUAUAGCUGAUCUGAGAGGAUGAUCAGCCACACUGGAACUGAGAUACGGUCCAGACUCCUACGGGAGGCAGCAGUGGGGAAUAUUGGACAAUGGGCGAAAGCCUGAUCCAGCCAUGCCGCAUGAGUGAAGAAGGCCUUUGGGUUGUAAAGCUCUUUUAGUGAGGAAGAUAAUGACGGUACUCACAGAAGAAGUCCUGGCUAACUCCGUGCCAGCAGCCGCGGUAAUACGGAGAGGGCUAGCGUUAUUCGGAAUUAUUGGGCGUAAAGGGCGCGUAGGCUGAUUAAUAAGUUAAAAGUGAAAUCCCGAGGCUUAACCUUGGAAUUGCUUUUAAAACUAUUAAUCUAGAGAUUGAAAGAGGAUAGAGGAAUUCCUGAUGUAGAGGUAAAAUUCGUAAAUAUUAGGAGGAACACCAGUGGCGAAGGCGUCUAUCUGGUUCAAAUCUGACGCUGAAGCGCGAAGGCGUGGGGAGCAAACAGGAUUAGAUACCCUGGUAGUCCACGCUGUAAACGAUGAAUGUUAAAUAUGGGAAGUUUA
rnacentral:rRNA from 1 species